GCUAAAAAGCUAGCCACAAAAAAUACCCAAACACACACAAAUACAUCACUAUCAACAAACUAAAACAAAUAACUAAACCAUUCUUCCACCCUAGUACGUGAGACAGAAAAGGAAACACGAGCUAUAGAAAAAGUACCGCAAGGGAAAGCUGAAAGAGAAUUGAAACAAACCAUUAAAGCACAAAAAAGCAAAGAUUAAACCUUGUACCUUUUGCAUCAUGAUCUAACUAGUAAUAUCAGGCAAAGAGUCCUUUAGUCUGACACCCCGAAACUAAGUGAGCUACUCCGAGACAGCAAAUUAGAGCCAACCCAUCUCUGUGGCAAAAGAGUGGGAAGAUCCCCGAGUAGAGGUGACAAGCCUAACGAACUUAGUGAUAGCUGGUUGCUUAGGAAAUGAAUAUUAGUUCAGCCCUAUAUAUUUCUCAAACCAAAAUACAAGAACCAAAAGAAACAAAGAACAUAUAGGAGUUAGUUAAAGGAGGUACAGCUCCUUUAAAAAAGAACACAACCUUAAAAGAAGGAUAAGGAUCAAAUUAAAAAAGGUACUCACCACAGUGGGCUUAAGAGCAGCCACCUGAACAAAAAGCGUUGAAGCUCAAGUGAACAUUAACCCAUUAUACAGAUAUUAUUUCCCACUCCUCCUAACCCACUAAGCCAUUCUAUGUAACCAUAGAAAAGCCAAUGCUAGAAUUAGUAACAGGGGGACACGCUCCCCUCCUGGCACAUGUAUAAGUCAGAUCGGACUCACCACUGACAAACAAAGAACCCAAUAAAAGAGGGUAAACCAAACAACAACAUAACCAAGAAAUACUUGAUAACUAAAAUCGUUAACCCAACACAGGAGUGCCACUAUAAGGAAAGACUAAAAGAAGAAAGAAGGAACUCGGCAAUAACGGGCCCCGCCUGUUUACCAAAAACAUGGCCUCUUGCAAACCAUAUAUAAGAGGUCCAACCUGCCCAGUGACAAUAAGUUAAACGGCCGCGGUAUUUUAACCGUGCUAAGGUAGCGUAAUCACUUGUCUUUUAAAUGAAGACCCGUAUGAAAGGUGUCACGAGGGCCCUACUGUCUCCUCCUUCCAGUCUGUGAAAUUGAUCUACCCGUGCAGAAGCGGGUAUACUAACAUAAGACGAGAAGACCCUGUGGAGCUUAAGAUUAUUAACCAAUCACGCCUAGACAGCCAUCAAACCAAAAAGCAAACAAGCAUAACGACAAUGGAUUAAUCAUCUUCGGUUGGGGCGACCAUGGAGGAAAAAUAAGCCUCCAAGAGGAACCAGGGGGUCAAUUACACAAUACCCCUAAGAGCUAAGAGCCACAUCUCUAAGCAACAGAAAAAUCUGACCAAUAAUGACCCAGGUCCAUGACCUGAUCAACGAACCAAGUUACCCCAGGGAUAACAGCGCAAUCCUUUCCUAGAGCCCAUAUCGCCGAAAGGGUUUACGACCUCGAUGUUGGAUCAGGACAUCCUAGUGGCGAAAAUUCUACCAAGGGUUCGUUUGUUCAACGAUUAAAGUCCUACGUGAUCUGAGUUCAGACCGGAGCAAUCCAGGUCGGUUUCUAUCUAUGAUACUUCCCCUUCCUAGUACGAAAGGGCCGGAAGGAGGGGGGCCAAUACUUAAAGCACGCCCCACCCCCACUUAAUGAAUACAACUAAAUUAACAAGGGAGAACAUUCAACAAAUCCAAGAUAAGGAUUA
rnacentral:rRNA from 1 species